CAGCGCUCGCCACCGCGCCCUGGAGCUGCACUCAUGCGCUUCAGAGCGGGUGGCGGAGGAAGGGACCGGCGCGGGGGGGCGGGGGGCGAGCACGUCGGAAGCCAGAGAACUCCGUGUCCCUGCGCUCCGUCGGUCACCAGGCGCGGGCCGGCAUGAUGGAGCCGCAGCAUGUGCACCAUGUGCUUGGAGCCCAGAGCCCAGCCUGGGAGGAACUGGUGGGUACCGCGCCCGCGCCCACCCCUUCCGCUUGUCCUUGCUCCCCGCCUCCCUCUCCCGGCCCAGGUUCCGUGCAGGAAGCGGUCCGGGAUGAGGUCCCCAGCUGCUUCCCAGCCGGGACAGCGCUUCCUCCCGCGCCCUGGCUCCUCCUUGCUCGCCGCCUGAAGCGCCUUUGUCCGGGGCUGCUGGUGUACCACCAUCAUCCCCAACACUCCUGUUCAGAAGAUGGGUGAGGAAAGUGGAAAGUCUAAUCAGUCAGCCGAUGACCAGUGGGAAAAAUGAGCUACAAGAUCACCUGAUCUUCAUCAGUGAGAAAGCUUUGCACAAGAGGAUCUGCUAGAAAUACUUCAACCCAAAAGUCCAAAAUCACUAAGCAGAAAUCAAAUAUAAAUGAACUAGAAGAAUUGAAUUUGGAUAUGAGGAAGAUCAGUAAUGACAUGGAGGAAAUGUGUGGAAUCCUGGACCUUUACAUGUUGAGGAUUUGAACUACAGGAUGAACACUGAAUUCAACAUCAUUAAAUCACAACAUGAGAAGACAAUGUUGGAUAUGAAUAAAAUGAUCCAGUCCAUAAUUGGUUCCAUGCAGUACUCCAAGGAACUGAUAGAAGAUAACUAUUCCUACAGUGUGAAAUAGGCAGGCAGAAAGCAGAACAUGGCACAGACCAGGACAUGAUCUCCCUCAAAGAGAAGUGCUGGAGGAAGAGCACUGAGUGUGCACAGGAAAUACACCACUGUUGCCUCUCAUCCCUAAUAACCAUGGCUGUAAUGGGCUGUAUGCUCCUCCUUUAUUUUGUUUCUUUGGUAUGAACAGGCCUUAAUUUCAUCUAGCCUCUGGCCCAGGAAGAGUGCACAUUUAAAGGGACUCAGAGAAUUGCUGAGACACAUCAAGAGCUGCUGGGCAUCCAGGAAGAUUCUGAGAGUUUAAAUUUAUCUUUUCCUGAUGGGUCAUCAUCAAUAAUUACAUGGAGAUCAGUCAACAAAAUUGUAAAACCUUGGAUCCAAGUCUACAACCUGUGUUCUGCUUUGACUUGGGAGGCCAUAUCCUUCAGACCCACACUCCAAAAGGAGAGUGUUGCUUAAAUUUCUCCUGCAAAGUUUGUUACCUCCAGGAACUGCUUUUCUGCUAAGUUGCCAAGGACAGCCACAGGCUGUAAGGCUGUGCUACAAAAUGAGCAGACUAAGAAUUUUGCUUUGCACAAUUUUUGUGGUUUGAUUUGGUUUGAGUUUUGAUUAGUUUAGUUACUUGGUUUUUCUUGUUUUCAUUCAAAGUUUUGUUAUUUAUUGGUUAUUUAUUGUUCUUGUAAUUAAUUUGAUAUUUUGAUAAGGUUAUACACAGUACAUAUUGACUGUCAGCUUUCAGUUACAAUUGAGUACAUUGCAUUUUUUCUUAUGACUAACACAGUGAUCUCCAACUCUUCACUCUUAAGAAACUUAUUAUUUCAGGUGUGAUCAUGAAAUCCCACAGAUAUCAGACCCAGAUGGAUCUCUGCAUUUUUGAUGGGACUUGGGCUCCAUAGUUUCUUCUGAGCCAGACUGAACUACAAACUCCUUCAUACAUUCAGUAUGGAGAGUUUUUCUAACUGUCUGUAUAGGAACUUAAUGAUGGAAAACUUACCCAUGCUGCAUCGUUGCUGUCAAAUAUUUAGCUACUGUGAAAAUACUGUGGAUGAUGGUGUUGAACGCAUUAAUGGCAAAUACAUCAGUAUUUUUGUAAUGGCUCUCAUUAAAUCAAAGCAUAAUCUAAGGGAAUAAAAAGCUGUCAGAAAACA